CUAUCACUUUCGAUGGUAGGAUAGUGGCCUACCAUGGUGGCAACGGGUAACGGGGAAUUAGGGUUCGAUUCCGGAGAGGGAGCCUGAGAAACGGCUACCACAUCCAAGGAAGGCAGCAGGCGCGCAAAUUACCCAAUCCCGAUACGGGGAGGUAGUGACAAUAAAUACUGAUACGGGGCUCUUUUGGGUCUCGUAAUUGGAAUGAGAACAAUUUAAAUCCCUUAACGAGGAACAAUUGGAGGGCAAGUCUGGUGCCAGCAGCCGCGGUAAUUCCAGCUCCAAUAGCGUAUAUUAAAGUUGUUGCAGUUAAAAAGCUCGUAGUUGAACCUUGGGUCUGGCUGGUCGGUCCGCCUCACCGCGAGUACUGAUCCGGCUGGACCUUUCCUUCUGGGGAACCUCAUGGCCUUCACUGGCUGUGGGGGGAACCAGGACUUUUACUGUGAAAAAAUUAAAAGUGUUCAAAGCAGGCCUUUGCUCGAAUACAUUAGCAUGGAAUAAUAGAAUAGGACGUGUGGUUCUAUUUUGUUGGGUUCUAGGACCGCCGUAAUGAUUAAUAGGGAUAAUCGGGGGCGUCAGUAUUCAGCUUGCAGAAGUGAAAUUCUUGGAUUUGCUGAAGACUAACUACUGCGAAAGCAUUCCCCAAGGAUGUUUUCAUUAAUCAGGGAACGAAAGUUAGGGGAUCGAAAACGAUCAGAUACCGGCGUAAUCUUAACCUUAACUAUGCCACUAGGGAUCGGACAGGAUUCUAUUAUGACCUGUCGGACCUUACGAGAAAUCAAAAGUUUUGGGUUCUGGGGGGAGAUUGGC
rnacentral:rRNA from 1 species